GGGGCCUUUUCGUCCCCGGCGUCCGGGCGCGCCGCAUCGACCCCCACCCCGGCCCCUGCCCCCCGGCGGCGGCCGGUGGGCAGAAAGACCGAAACCCGCUCACUACCGCCUCUCGAAUCGCGGCUCUGCUGUUUGCGGGGCGUGCUAGAAACGUGGUCCUGGAAAGAAUGGCGUCCAUUUACAUAAUGCUUUGUUUGCGUUUCGCAAGUUUCUUUCGGUUAAAGCCACGGAAACCCCACCUCCUGCCCUUGUGUCGUUUCCACCGCGGCACCCUUUUCCGACAUAGAAACAACAGUGUGCGCCUAUGGAGGCCUUGUUUAUUCAGGGGAUGCCGGCCAGGGCUUCAGGACGUUUCUGCGGCUUUUCCCGCGCGGCCUGGGCUCCCGCGGCUGCCUUUCGGGCCCAUGGGCGCAGCCACCGCACCCGACUCUCCGGGGGCGGCCCCGUGGCCCGCCAUCUUGGAAGGCCUUUUUUGCAGGUUCCUCCCGCUGAGGAAGUGUCGUUUAAGACGCUGGCAUACGAGUUGUGAUUUCUGCCCUUUCCCCUUCCUCCUCGGGCUAAGCCAGACCAGCAAGGGCCCCGUGCACAACGUGCUUCAGAAUCCCUCAGGGAAAGCGGCUAACGUGGCGCUACUCCGCCUCCCCCGUUCCUUCCCCGAGGGGCGGCCGCCAUGUUGCCUGAACACAAAAUGGCGACACGUGGCUAGCAUUCGUCGCCAACGAGAAAUUGGGGUCGGCCCGAAAGCUCUGGAAUGUACCCCCCUUCCUCCCCGGGGCCUUUCCCGCUCCGCGAGUUUUAUGACCUAGAAAACCCCACAGGCUGGUCUGAAGCUCGGAAGCCUAAUUUUAACGCGUUUCCCUCCCUCUAAUUUGAAACGGGAACGCGAAUAACUAAAAUGUAGGCACAAAAUUUAACCUCUCGCCUUUUUAAAGCUUAACGAUGAAUAAUAGGGGGCAGUAUCAAGGGAUAAUUUGGGUCCCCACAGUACCAAAGCAUUUAGAAACCUCUGCUUAAUUUAAUAGAAUGAGAUAAAUUACUGCUUUUCUAGACUUCCUAGCAUGGGCCGUUGUGCUGGAGAGAACGAGAAAUACGAAGAGACCAGAAUGCCUCUGACUUUUUCAUAGGCCGGUUGGCCGGUGAAUCUUACUAAUAGUUUACCACAAUUCAGUGUUCACUCUUAGUUUAGAAGGGACAGGCGUUUAUUGUGCAUUGGCCAGUGCCAGCACAUCCGAUGCAAGGCAUUUCACCGUAUUCUAUCUUUAAUUUUUACCAUGAUCCUCUGAGGUAGGUGUUCUUAUCUCUUUCUCUCUUUUUUAAACAGAGGAAGACACUUAAACAUAAAGAUGAAGUGCCUAAUUCAAGGUCACACAAUGUCGGGGAUGGACCUCCAGAUUUCCUUACUGACCUGCAUUAUCUGUGGAUACCUGAGUGAAUUACACACCACCCAUUUUAUAGAUGAAGCCACUGAGACAUGGAGCAACUGACUGACUAGUCACUGCCCCACCCCUGGAGCCUCACACAUGACUCGUCUCCUCUCACUCAGUGACCACAGGUUGGUUGAGGGGUUUGACAAGGCUAAGAAGUUACUUAUCCUGUAUUACUUGAGGGAAAUGAAACAAAAAGACUACAGCCCCACUCCCAGCUACUCCGUGAGGUGGUAGCUAGGUAAGACAUGGUCUUGUACCACAGUGGUUAAGAAUGUGACUUUGGAGCCAGCCUGCUAGGGGAUGAAUUCUGACUCAGCCAUUUACUAACUGGGUGACCUUAGUUCCCUGAGCACAUGCUGUUGAGUAAUCCUGCCUGGACCAGUCCUUCCCUCACCCUAGACUUCACCUUCAGUUCCCCUUUAUACCACCUGCUGAAGCUGCCAGCCAGCCUUUUCCACCACCCUCCCUCCCCCAAGGGUGUUUGGCUUCUCAGACCCUAGCCUGAGCUAGUGCCCUUAGCUCACUAGGGUCUUGCCAGGAAAGUCAAAGGAGAACAUACAUACUGCCAAAGAGUACCUAAUAAUGAGAAUUCCCAUGCUGAAUUGUGAUUUAUAGUCAGCAUAGCACAUGUGUCACAUGAUUAUACUUAGGCUGAUUUUAGCCUGAAUAAUCUGCUUCUGUGAUCCUGUAUGUGGAAAACCUAGAAAUUUCUCUGUGAUCCUCCUUCCUGGAUCACUAAGAGACAAGUCAAGACAUAGGUUCAUUGUACCACCUGUAUUAAUCUGGGCCUUGUUGAGACCAUUUAAAAAAGGUGUGAUGCUAGAAGUAAGGUCCAGGCCUCCCACACACAGUUUCAAGGCUGUGACCAUAGUCAAAUCCUGUUGCUUUGAGUCCAAAGAGUUUAAAAUAGUGUUGGAAACCUCCUAGGGAAAACAAAAAAACAACACCAUAACUUCCUGGGUAAGGAAGUGACAUGUGCUGACUAGAGCAGGAGGGGUAGCCAAGGCUCCAAGUUCUAUUCUGGACCUGCUGUUGAUUUGAGGUGUGACAUUCAGCAAUCUGAGCUGGUGUUCUGUAGCUCGGAUUGGUUUCUCAUCUUCCGCAGAGAGAGUGAAAAGAGGCUGUGCUUGCAGUGGAAAAGGUGAAUACUGGUCUCUUGUCCUUUAGGAGAACCUCACCAUUGCACAUCCUGCCUCUCAUUUGAAUUUCCAGGCUUCUUUUUUAGAGUCUCGCUCUGUCGCCCAGCUUGGAGUGCAGUGGUGUGAUCUUGGCUCACUGCAACCUCUGCCUCUGGGUUUAAGUGAUUCUCUCACCUCAGCCUCCCAAGUAGUUGAAAUUAUAGGUGUGUGCCAUCAUGCCUGGCUAAUUUUUGUUUUUUAGUAGAGAUGGGGUUUCACCAUGUUGGCCAGGCUUGUCUCGAACUCCUGACCUCAAUUGAUCCACCUGCCUCGGCCUCCCAACCAGGCUUCUUUUUUAAAUGCAGAAAUACCCGCCAACCCAGAGUUAGUAUAGAAACCCAGCAAUGUUGUUUAUGUUUUACUUGAAUUCAUUUCAUCAGAAUUGCAUUCCUUUUAACAGUGUGAUUAGAUCAGCUCUUGUAGGGGAUGGCAGCUUCAAUAGGGUUUAGGAAAGAAAAGGAAGAUUUGUGUGGGGCAUACACAUUGGCUUUGAUAGCUUGAGGAUACCAGGUACAUGAUAGUUUAGAUGGAUAACAGAAACUUGUGUCCAUUGAGAGCCAGGCAUGUAUUAGAUGCUUUCAUAUAUAAUUUAAUUGUAGUACAAACCAAUAAAGUAUUCCCAUUUUUUGCACGUGAGCAAGCUGAAAAAGAAGUUAUAUAACUUGUCCAAGGUCACACAGCUAAUAAAAGGGCUGAGCUAGGA